rnacentral:lncRNA from 1 species
CCCACUCCGGUCCAACAACAAUAUAAAAUGAUACCGUAAUGCACCUGUUCUUUGUCUUUGGAUCUUUUGAAUAAAUGGAUCAAUACAUGAUGAAUCACAAUGGUCGCAAGCAGAGGACCGUGCGAGUUAUUGAGCAGCAGAUGAACCAGUCCAAAAAUCGGACACGUUAACGGAGCACUGAACUAGGCCCUCUCGGAUGCCAUUUGUUUCACUACGACUCCUUUCAGCUGCACACCCCUCUUCCCCAGCGAGAUAACGGCUAAUAAAACGCUUGAGGUGGCGCUUUGAGGACAUGGCAUUUAAGGGACACCACAGGAGACCAGACGGCUCAUUCAUUUCAGGGCGACCAGGGACAAUGAGUUCCUAAAAUCGAAAAUGAUCGCCAGAAAACAGUGGGAGCUUUUUCUGGAAGAAAUGGGGGUGGAGGGGAAAGUGACCAGGCAACAGGCUUCUAAGAAGUGGGAGAACCUUAAAAAGAAGUACAAGGAUUUGAGGACUCCCAAAACUCGGGUCGGGGACUGAAAGUGG